rnacentral:rRNA from 1 species
UACGUAGGGUGCAAGCGUUAAUCGGAAUUACUGGGCGUAAAGCGUGCGCAGGCGGUUUUGUAAGUCUGUCGUGAAAUCCCCGGGCUCAACCUGGGAAUUGCGAUGGAGACUGCAAGGCUAGAAUCUGGCAGAGGGGGGUAGAAUUCCACGUGUAGCAGUGAAAUGCGUAGAGAUGUGGAGGAACACCGGUGGCGAAGGCGGCAUCCUGGACCGGUAUUGACGCUGAGGGCGGCGAAAAGCCAGGGGAGCAAACGGG